UUUUGGUGGAGCAUGUGGUUUAAUUCGAAGCAACGCGAAGAACCUUACCAGGUCUUGACAUCCUCUGACAACCCUAGAGAUAGGGCUUUCCCUUCGGGGACAGAGUGACAGGUGGUGCAUGGUUGUCGUCAGCUCGUGUCGUGAGAUGUUGGGUUAAGUCCCGCAACGAGCGCAACCCUUGAUCUUAGUUGCCAGCAUUCAGUUGGGCACUCUAAGGUGACUGCCGGUGACAAACCGGAGGAAGGUGGGGAUGACGUCAAAUCAUCAUGCCCCUUAUGACCUGGGCUACACACGUGCUACAAUGGAAA
rnacentral:rRNA from 2 species